GCCACGCCCGCCUCAGAAACUACAAAGGAAUUGACGGGGGCCCCGCACAAGCGGUGGAGUAUGUGGUUUUAAUUCGAUGCAACGCGAAGAACCUUACCUAGGUUUGACAUCCGGAAGACCUUCCCGAAAAGGAAGGGUGCCCUUCGGGGAAUUCCGAGACAGGUGCUGCAUGGCUGUCGUCAGCUCGUGCGUGAGGUGUUGGGUUAAGUCCCGCAACGAGCGCAACCCUAUUGCCAGUUGCUACCAGGUAAUGCUGGGCACUCUGGUGAGACUGCCCCGGUUAACGGGGAGGAAGGUGGGGACGACGUCAAGUCAUCAUGGCCCUUACGCCUAGGGCUACACACGUACUACAAUGGCGCAUACAAAGGGCAGCGAUACCGCGAGGUGGAGCCAAUCCCAAAAAGUGCGUCCCAGUCCGGAUUGCAGUCUGCAACUCGACUGCAUGAAGUUGGAAUCGCUAGUAAUUCGAGAUCAGCAUGCUCGGGUGAAUGCGUUCCCGGGCCUU
rnacentral:rRNA from 1 species